UACGGCUGCAUGAAGCUGGAAUCGCUAGUAAUCGCAGAUCAGAAUGCUGCGGUGAAUACGUUCCCGGGUCUUGUACACACCGCCCGUCACACCAUGGGAGUUGAGAAUACCCGAAGCCCAUGUCAAAGUGGUCGAAGGUAGGCUUGAUGAUUGGGGUGAAGUCGUAACAAGGUAUC
rnacentral:rRNA from 1 species